rnacentral:rRNA from 1 species
CGGGGGAUAACUAUUGGAAACGAUAGCUAAUACCGCAUAAGAGUAGAUGUUGCAUGACAUUUACUUAAAAGGUGCAGUUGCAUCACUACCAGAUGGACCUGCGUUGUAUUAGCUAGUUGGUGGGGUAACGGCUCACCAAGGCGACGAUACAUAGCCGACCUGAGAGGGUGAUCGGCCACACUGGGACUGAGACACGGCCCAGACUCCUACG